CCCCAUCUACAAGUCCAUCUCAAAGCACGACCCAUCUUACGAAUAAAAUAAGCAUUGUCUAAGCCGAGCAAAUCAAAGCUAAAGUUUAUGUAAAUUAACAUGAAUUUUUGUCACGUAUAAAACCACCGACACGGCAGCGAUUUUGUUUGUCUCCUCAUGAAUUAUUAAUGAUUUUUAAGGCAAUAAAGAUGUAGUGCAUUUAGAAUUUAUUUAGUGUACAAAAUAUAUCUAGAUACCAGGACCCGUUAGGAUAAAAUUUUAAAGGUUCAUUGUUAAAACUGCUUUAUUUCACUUAAACUAUAUUGAAUUGUAUUAUAUUUACAUGGUAAAACAAGGAACAUUAAAACACUAAAUACUGUAGUUGAUAGUUACUUCUGCUAAAAUAUUACAUACUAAAACCACCAAGGUGGUUUCCUUGUUUAAAAUUUAAAGUUUGAUCAUUAUGAUCUAUUGUCUACUAUGCUAUCAUUUAGUUAUUAGUUAUCAGCAUGUCUGAUACUAAGCUAUUUUAUAUUUCUAUGAACAUAGUUCUUGUUAGCUUUCUCUGAGUACUGGCAUUCUGAUAAUACACGCUUCCGGAAAGUAUGUCACCUUAGCUUAGAGUUGAAAGUAUGUCACUUCGUUUUCGUUAUUAAGACGUGGGUUUGAACUGAUGUCAGACACACGAAAACGAGGCUCUAUAGCCAAAGUGACGUACUUUCCGGAAGGGUGUAUUGCUAUAAUAGUAUAAACCUUUCACAUAAUGUACAGCUGUAAACUGAUGUACAGCACACACGAGAUGUUCCACACAUUUUCAGGUGCAAUGGUCUUCGCAAUCACUCGUGUUGCUUGCCAGUCUUCUGUAACUCUUCACCACCAGCAGUGAAGAAGUGAUUUCAUACUUGAGUUUCAGUUUUCGGUUUCAUCAUACCAUUGGAAAUAUCUUCUAACGAAGGCGCAAACAGUUCAUCAAGACCUGCCAAAAAUGAAUAAAAUAUGUUUGUUUGCAUUGCAUUGCAUUAUGUCCAUUAUCAGAGAUGCAGCGCCCGGUAUUGACUAGAGCUUACAUGCAGAAAUGUUCAUCAUUUAGGGGCGGACCAUUAUAAAUCCCGGGAGGGGGGGGGGGGGGUGAAAAUUCCCCCCAAAAAAUUUGUGCAAAGAAAAAUGCCAGGAAAAAAAUUCGCGCAGCCAUUACGUCAGAGAAAAAAAAAACCCUGCAAGCAAAGUGCAAAUAGUCUUGAAAAAAAAUUCUUGCAGAGGUUAAAUGCACACAAAAAAUCCUGCAGAGACAUGAGACUGAAAAAAGUUCGUGCCGCAAAAAUUUUAUACUCCCCCUCGCGGAAUUUCUAAUGGUCCGCCCCUUAUGGACUUUUCCAUGACAGUUAAGGGACCGCUCAUUAUUUAUUGUACAGGGGGGGAUUGAGGAGAAACUGGGGGGGCCUUUAAAUUUUUCAAAACCUGAAAGGGGGG